rnacentral:pre_miRNA from 1 species
AUACUACUCCCUCUGUUCGGAAUUACUUAUCAUAGAAAUGGAUGUAUCUAGAUGUAUUUUAGUUCUAGAUACAUCUAUUUUCGAGACAAGUAAUUCCGAACGGAGGGAGUACCAA